GAUGAACGCUGGCGGCGUGCUUAACACAUGCAAGUCGAACGGAAAGGCUCCUGCUUUCUGGGGUACUCGAGUGGCGAACGGGUGAGUAACACGUGGGUGAUCUGCCCAGCACUUCGGGAUAAGCCUAGGAAACUGGGGCUAAUACCGGAUAGGACGACGUGUUGGAUGCUAUUGUGGAGAGUUUUUUCGGGGUGGGAUGGGCUCGCGGCUUAUCAGCUUGUUGGUGGGGUAGUGGCCUACCAAGGCGUCGACGGGUAGCCGGCCUGAGAGGGGGUGCGGCCACAUUGGGACUGAGAUACGGCCCAGACUCCUACGGGAGGCAGCAGUGGGGAAUAUUGCACAAUGGGCGCAAGCCUGAUGCAGCGACGCCGCGUGGGGGAUGACGGCCUUCGGGUUGUAAACUCCUUUCGCUAGGGACGAAGCGCAAGUGACGGUACCUGGUGAAGAAGCACCGGCUAACUACGUG
rnacentral:rRNA from 1 species